UACGGAGGGGGCUAGCGUUGUUCGGAAUUACUGGGCGUAAAGCGUACGUAGGCGGCUUUGUAAGUUAGAGGUGAAAGCCCGGGGCUCAACUCCGGAAUUGCCUUUAAGACUGCAUCGCUUGAAUCAUGGAGAGGUGAGUGGAAUUCCGAGUGUAGAGGUGAAAUUCGUAGAUAUUCGGAAGAACACCAGUGGCGAAGGCGGCUCACUGGAGCUGGUAUUGGCGCUGAGGUGGCGAAAAGCGUGGGGAGCAAACACGG
rnacentral:rRNA from 1 species